rnacentral:snRNA from 1 species
GGGAGGGUGCUCUGCCCCUGAUGUCUGUGGUACCAUCGAUCACCGGGUUUGAUUCAUCUGAUCUGUCUGGAUGGGCAGAGUACUCUCUUUCUCUCUCACUAUCCCAUGCACGUCCUUCUUAAGGCUCUGCACUGUGAGAUGACCUUCCUUACAGGGGAGAACUACUCAGUGGUCAAGACUAUGUAAGUACCAGGCUCCCCUCCCAGAACCUCCAAAGCAGCUCUCAGGAUCAGGAACACAAUAUGCUGCGUCUCACCUCCCCUGGUCAACACUGCCAAUGGGGGAGGAAGAGGAGGGGGUGGGGAGAAAAG